rnacentral:lncRNA from 1 species
CUGAAACAACACUCUUUUUACUAUACAGAACAGAAUUCUCAUAGAAUCCUAAUUUUUCUCCCAAAAGAGAGAAAAAUGUUCCUAGUUGUUAUUACUUUUUAUCGACUCAACCAUUUGAAGUUGGGCAAUCCUGAACCUUUCUUCUUCUAUAAUCACAAACCAACCAGCCAACCAAGAACAUAAAAAACAGUGCAAAUGACAUCCAGAAGUAACCUAAGAACCUGAUGUCGACAAGAGUUUAUAUUAUUGAUACUCAAACUUAGGCAAUCCUGAACCUUAGUCUUGUCUUCUAAUCAGAAACCACUUAUCCAAUCAAUUACAUUAAACUAUAAAACAGAUGUCCAGAAAUAACCCAAGAGACUGAGAUCCACAAGCAUUGCUAGUAUUGAUACUACAACCACAAGAAAGAUGGUUACCUGGGGUGGAAUCAUACCAGGAGGAGCCUGCCCAUAAAAUAGCUGCUGUCCCAUACCAGGAGCACCAGGAGGAUACAUUGGCAUACGAGGAGCCAUAGAUGCAGCCAUUGCAACUGGUCGCAGUUGUGAAAAUUGUGCCUGUGGAUACAAGAGCAGUGAGGCAUGCCAUACAUAACACAAAUUUUUAUUUGAAGUCCCGCAAGAGACGAUAUAUUACACAUUUGACAGAUCAAAUUUUUAGUGCAGAUUGGAGUGAUCAGCAAAGAUCGAUACAAGAGCAGUGCGGCAUGCCAUGCAUAACACAAAUUUUUAUUUGAAGUCCCGCAAGAGACGAUAUAUUACACAUUUGACAGAUCAAAUUUUUAGUGCAGAUUGGAGUGAUCAGCAAAGAUCAUAUCAGCUAUUGAACCACAGUUCAAAAAUACCUCUUUUAGAUGCCUCACCAGAAAUUCGCCAAGAAGAUAAAAGUUUGAAACGAUACAUUAUUAUCUGCUAGAAACUAUGAGCAAUCUAUAGCGCAGUAUUCGAAAAUUUAAUCUAUAUGUCAACAAUGGGCCCACUUGCAUUCUUACCUGCAGCAUAGCUCUUCUCUCCUCUUUGCGUUGAGCAAGUGCAACGUAGAGUGGCUUGCUAACUAUCAUUUUCCCGUUCAUCUCAGAAAGCUUGAACCCCCAAAAAAUUAAAAAGAAUGUGUCAUCUUAACCAGCAUCUCAUCAACCCAAAAGAAAAACUCGC